rnacentral:rRNA from 1 species
UACGUAGGGGGCGAGCGUUGUCCGGAUUUAUUGGGCGUAAAGGGCGCGUAGGCGGCUUGGCAAGUGGAUGGUGAAAUCCCUCGGCUUAACCGAGGAACUGCCGUCCAAACUGCUUUGCUUGAGGCCGGGAGAGGCGAGUGGAAUUCCCAGUGUAGCGGUGAAAUGCGUAGAUAUUGGGAGGAACACCAGUGGCGAAGGCGGCUCGCUGGACCGGUUCUGACGCUGAUGCGCGAAAGCGUGGGGAGCAAACGGG